UAGACAAUGGACUGCUGGACAGACAUGGCCGCAAGAGGCUAACAUCAUUCUUAUUGAUCACUGUAUCGUUUGCGUGGAAAAGGAUUGUUGUGCGAGAGAAAAAAAAGCCAAAAAAAAUAUGUGAAAUGCAUUAAGCAACAGUGUGUGCAGUUUGUGUGAGUGCAACGUUCUGAAACCAUCCCCGUUCGCCAUAAAUGCACUUUGCAGGAUAAUAAAGUCACAAGUGAUCAGAAAACUGGUUGAAACCGAACUCUAAUCACUCACCGCGGCCUAUUCGAAGACAAAUGAUGUCUUUCAGCAGUCCCACGUAAGCUUUAUAUCACUUCUAAAAUUAUGUUUCGCGUGUUUUACGAAUUUUUCAUUUAAUUAUUUCAUUUAUCUAUUUAUCUAUUAAUUAAUUUAAUUUUCUUUAAAUCGUCAUUUGGCUACCUUUCACUAACAACGUUUAUUAUAAUGUUUCUUAAAUGCCGAUCCUUAGCAUCCUCUUGCUUUACUUUUAAUACAACUCUUACUCUUUAACAUAGAAAGCGAAAAGUGCUUCCCCUUUGAAUGUUUCAUUAUUAUUAUUAUUAUUAUUUUUAUUUUUUUUCUCAUUUUUUUUGGAUUUCUUCUGUUAAGUCAAAGCCAGUAUGUUUAAUAUUAACUUGAUUUUCUAGAGUUGGCAAAAAAUGGCAAACAGCAACAACAAUAAAGCAGCACAAAAGCAGAAGUUAUCUCAGGCAGCUUUUAAUUACAUUUUUGUUCUUUUAUAUACUGGGAUUUUUUUAUUUUUUAUUUUUUUAUUUAUUUAUUUUUUUUUAUUUCUUGCGUGCUGUUUUUCAGUGCGGUUGGUUGACUGACUGGCUUGCUGUCACAUUUGUUUGCAUACAUUAUAUGUAAACGUCACUGAUGAAUGAUUUUCUGUCUACAGCCAUCAUUAACAUCAAGUGCAGUGGUAGCAGCUUCAUCAGUAGCAUCGACAUUAUGCUCACACAUUAAUUUACCUUAUGUUUAACGGUAUCAAAAAAUUUUAGAUUGGAAAACUCUCACGUGUAUAACAAACACUAUUGGCAAGAAAUUUAUAAUCUUUUGCUUAUGCUGAAUGGACGAAUAAAAAAAAAAAAA